rnacentral:tRNA from 1 species
CAAAUUAGAGCUUGAGUAAAGCAUUUUAGUUACAUUAAAAAGUUAAUUGUUCAAUCAAUUUAAUUUGA